rnacentral:rRNA from 1 species
AUUGAACGCUGGCGGCAGGCCUAACACAUGCAAGUCGAACGAGUGGCGGACGGGUGAGUAAUGUCUGGGAAACUGCCUGAUGGAGGGGGAUAACUACUGGAAACGGUAGCUAAUACCGCAUACCAUCAGAUGUGCCCAGAUGGGAUUGGCUUGUUGGUGGGGUAAGGGCACACCAAGGCCACGAUCCCUAGGUGGUCUGAGAGGAGGACCACCCACACUGGGACUGAGACACGGUCCAGACGCCUACGGGAGGCAGCAGUGGGGAAUAUUGCACAAUGGGCGCAAGCCUGAUGCAGCCAUGCCGCGUGUAUGAAGAAGGCCGUAGGGUUGUAAAGUACUUUCAGCGGAGAAGCGUUACCCGCAGAAGAAGCACCGGCUAACUCCGUGCCAGCAGCCGCGGUAAUUC